rnacentral:rRNA from 1 species
AUUGAACGCUGGCGGCAGGCCUAACACAUGCAAGUCGAGCGGAUGAAGGGAGCUUGCUCCUGGAUUCAUCGGCGGACGGGGGAGUAAUGCCUAUGAAUCUGCCUGGGCGUGGUGGAUAACGUCCGGUAACGGGCGCUAAUACCACAUCCGUCCAGCGGGGGAAGAUCGGGGAUGUUCGGAUCCCGCCCUAUCACCUGAGCCUAGGUCGGAUUAGCUAGUUGGUGGGGUAAGGGCCAACCAAGGCGACGAUCCGUAACUGGUCUGAGAGGAUGAUCAGUCACACUGGAACUGAGACACGGUCCAGACUCCUACGGGAGGCAGCAGUGGGGAAUAUUGGACAAUGGGCGAAAGCCUGAUGCAGCCAUGCCGCGUGUGUGAAGAAGGUCUUCGGAUUGUAAAGCACUUUAAGUUGGGAGGAAGGGAAGUAAGUUAAUACCUUGCUGUAUUGACGUUACCAACAGAAUAAGCACCGGCUAACUCCGUG